rnacentral:rRNA from 1 species
UACGUAGGGUCCGAGCGUUAAUCGGAAUUACUGGGCGUAAAGCGUGCGCAGGCGGUUUUGUAAGCCAGAUGUGAAAGCCCCGGGCUUAACCUGGGAAUGGCAUUUGGGACUGCAAGGCUGGAGUACGGCAGAGGGAGGUGGAAUUCCAGGUGUAGCAGUGAAAUGCGUAGAUAUCUGGAGGAACACCGGUGGCGAAGGCGGCAUCCUGGACCGAGAUUGACGCUGAGGCGCGAAAGCCAGGGGAGCAAACGGG